ACAGUUCAUAGAUUUCAAGUCAUCGAGUGUGAAGCCUGGAUUGAAAUAUGAAUCCAGUCGGCGAAUAUUGAAUAACUGGAAUUUAGAUAUACUUUUUGCAGUUUUACAGAUCUCAUGCAAGAUACUUACCAUGGUUUUGUCAAAAUUCAAUUCAAACUGACAUUUAAAGCCUUGCUCAGUUGCUCAGAUGUGAGGAAUAUCUCCCUACCGAUCAAUUCGAAGUAUUUGUAUUUUGUCAGCCAUGGCUUGUCUAAUAGAAACUGAUAAUCUCCAAAAAGUUUAUCAAUAUCCAAUUGCAAAUCAAUGUGAUCUACUUUGAACAAGUUCAAAAAAAGGUACAACAUUCUCCCGAGGUGCCGUGGACUUAGAAUUUCAAAUGAAAUUGAUUUGUGACCUACGAAUGCACUGAAAAACGUUAAUCAUUAACCGGAAAGGUAUUUUUACUACAAUUAUUAACCGAUAAUUUCACAGUUGACCUUUAAAUUUUCGGCACUCUCAAAAAAAUAUUAAACGUUUUUGACGGAAAAGUCAAAUUUCUGGGUAAAAAAUGUUGCCAGGAAAAAAAAUAAAUUGAGAUGCUAAAGCCCGUUAGCACAUGCUCGCUGGCUGUCUCAAAAUUUUCUCGCGGACGAGAAAACGUUAAAAUAUUAGCAAAAUGGCCUCCAAAACGGUGGAAGAGGACGAUUCCUCGUCUAACAUUCAGGCCUCCCUGUGACUGUAACUUACUGAAAUAUAUUAAUAAAUUGAUAUACAUCAUUGUUCGAUGUUUGCAAGGCGCUUUUAAUCGGACGCGUUUUAAAAUUAUUGUAGGAGUAUACAACAUCAUUGAGAGUUUCGAAGAUUAAUAAUCUUCGAAACUCAUACUUCUUGUCGACUGGAUAAUCGUGAAUGAAAUUUUCAACCAUUAUUUUGUAAACUUUCCUCUUUAUUUUCUAAAUUUAAAUUCGAGUUCUUCUUGACGUUUGCGAGAGUUGUACACUUAAAUAAUUCAUGCACUGAUUGUGAAUGUAAUGUGGUAUAUAACUUACACUUCAAAAAUUUUCAUAUGAUAAAUAAUAUUUCGAAAUGGAAGAAAGGGAAGUUUGAGCAAAUUAAACGAUUUUUUUCGUCGAUACAAACCUAACAGCAAUGAGCAGUGAGCUUGAAAAAAUCGGACAGUACAUUGAAAUAAAUUAGUAAAAAGGCUCAUUUUGGGUUGCAAUGAAGUGCGGAGAUAUGAGAGCACAGUAAUGUAAUUUUGCGUGGAGAUUUUUGCAAUCGAUAUAUUCUGUCGCACCAACAUAAUGUACAUGUUGGUUUUCCUAACAAAAAACAUACCUACUACAUGACUCGUAUCUUAGUAGAUCGAUAGUAUGGCCCACCGGCCAUUUUCGACGCAGAAAUUUUGUUUUAUUGAUUAGUCGACCAGUUACUCUCUCAGUGAACACGGUCAGUCUGUCUUCGUCUGCAAUGUACGGUUUACUGCUAAAAGUCUUUAUCGACUUGUAGUUGUUGCCGUGUUGGCAUGGCUCGCUUGGUAUUUUUCAAAGCCAUGCCGCCAGGAGGCGGUCCACAUCCAGCAGACCGUGGCUGAAAGACCCAACGAACCAGGAAGGAUUUAUACCUUCGACCCUCCGAAAAAUUGGUUUCCAUAUUGCGACUAGACAUGCAGGGAGUGGCAACUGUUUUCUACAUUUCAAACAACUAAAGUCAAUCAACUAUUUCAAAAUCAUUACUUAUCAAAUGUUUCAUUUCAAUAAAAUUGUACAC
ensembl:lincRNA linc-77 ncRNA